AAAAGGAGGGUAAACAGUUUUCUGCACCUUUACGUUGGGGAGUUGUAAAGUCAGUAAGAUAACAAGAAACAACUGCGAGAAAUCAGUGACUGUAAUUGCUUGUAAAUAUUUCCACCAAAAUAAUGAGUAGUGUUUGAUGGGGUCAGUUUAAUCAACAGUUCAUUACCAAAUCAGUCGUUCUUUCAUUAUGUUGUAAGAAGUAUACAGUUAAAACUAGACCCAGAGCACGCUAACAUUAAUCUGGCUGUUAAGACUACUUUAUAAAAUGUUAUAUACAGUGUAUUUUCAAAUUCUUUAAGCGAUCAAAACCCACUUGAUAUAUAGAUUUUUUCAUCUGAAAUUGCGAAAAUUAUUUUCUCUCCUUUUCAGUUUUUCUACCAAGUAACUAAAACUUCGCAUUGGGCAUUUUUUCUAUUUUUGAGAUAUGUUUUCAAAGAAAAGUUAGAGUAGAAUGAAAAUGAGAAUCUUUGGAUACAAAUGAGAAAAAUCUAAUGUUAUAUGAAAAUUCUAUUCUUAAUCAAUUUGAAAUGUUCAUAUGUUACAGAAAACAGCAAACCAAUGCUUAAUGAGAAAUGAAACACUUAUGAAUCUUGUAAGUUAAUCAAUAUUUGAAAAUUCACCUCCACCCUCCUGUGUCACUUCGUUUUUGUUUUCUUACCUAUAAUUUGGACUUUAGUCUAAGAUUGUGUUCCAUUUUAUGUCUGUUUUAGAAAGAACAAGGAGAGAAAAAUUUGUCCGUGAACUUUGUGCUUUUUUAGACAGUAGUCAAUCUGUAAGUAGUAUGUGGAAAGAAACUACAUCCUUUUGAUUAUUUAUACUUGGACAAUUAUAAAUUUUAAAGGAGGGCGAAAAUGCCUAUUUUGAUAAGGCUUACUAACUCGUUCCGUUGCCAUGAAAUUCCAUUGAUGUCAGUGGCAGUGUUAUUUUGUACAAAAUAGUUAUAUAUUUAAAGUAGGCUGUGAUGGUCUGGAAGUUUGACAGCCUUUUUCCUUUCUGAAGAAAACUACAAAGGCCAUUUUAAAUAUCUCCAGAUUAAGAACUUCUUUCUAUCCCCAUACCUCUAAAAAUAGAACUGAAACUAAUGAUGAAGUCCAAACUCUUGCUUUGUGACUCAUCUGGGAUAAACCCAGAGUGACUUGUUUUGUUAUAGGCAAGACACAGCAAAUUCAGAAGGCAAUAUGAAGUGCCCUACUUAUGUUAUUUUACUUAACGUGCAAAUAAACUAUAUUAACAAGAAAUAUUUUCAAUAAUUAAGACUUCAAAUUUAAAAAAUAAAUCAUGACAUUCUUCAAAUGUGAAUGAUUACAUCAGUUGUAAAAUUUUCUAAUGCAGGCACUUGAAAAAUUUAUUUUCGCUGGGUCUAAGAAAUCUGCUUUGAGGAUAGAAAACAAGAUGUUAAAAAAAUACAGUAUUUACAGUUGUACAUUUUGUUUAGACUUGUAAAUAUGUAUGUCAAGGGAAUAAUCAGUAAUGAUUACCUGAAUAAUUACAUGUGCUUUAGCUUCCUACAAAGUGUGUCCUAUUUAGUGAUUUAACUACCCAUUUUAUAUUUAAUCAAAAUCCUGUUUUUCCUCUAUAAGAACUCAAAACUUGAUAUAAAACAAAGAAUAUGUAAAUAAGCUUCUGUAU
ensembl:lncRNA